AGGUCGUCUCGCCUUUAUAAAUCCCCGGAAUUUCUCUGUCGUUUUACACUGGAUUCCUGCUGUCCUGUCGACUGGAGUCGGAACUUUAUACUUAACGUAGUUUCCAUCAAUCUAAACCAAUAAAAUGAAGACAGAACUAGCUGUGUUGGUUGUUAUAGCCAUAGCGUUUGUUCCCUGGACGUCAGGUCAGGACUUCCAGUGUCCCCAGGCCAGAGGACAUUACCAAGAUCCAAGGAAUCAGUCCAGAUUUUUCGCCUGUGUUGAUUACAUACCAACAAAUUUAGUAUGUGCCGAGGGCAGUGUAUUCGACCCUAUCAUCAGGAGAUGCAAUCUACUAGCUUAUGUUAAUUCAGUUUCUGGUGCACGUUGCGACCAAGGCGAUGGUAUGUUUUCACUUCCGGGAGAUUGCAGUCAAUACUUAGUAUGUUCGAAUGGUCUCCCCUUUAUCAUGGAUUGCCCAGACGGUUUAUUAUUCAACAGAACCCAUUAUUAUUGUGACCGAGAGGUUCGGUGUUAAACGAUGGUGUAUAAUAAGCCUAGCCAAAUAAAAAUUUUAACCCAUA